CAAAAGUCCUUUUUUUUUUGCCCGACAAAAGUAAACCAAACACCCUCUAACUAAACCGAAAAUGGCGCAGUCAGUUGUUGGAUCUUCUCUUGUUUACAAAUCUGUGUGGCCGAAAUCGUCUGCAUCAUCAUCACCUAUCUAUUCAACCAGGUCAUUACCUUGUGAAAUUGGUUAUUGAAGAUUCAUAAAUUGAGGAUGAAAAGGGAUUUAGGUUUAUUAAGAGAGAUGCAUCCAAGACAGGCAAAACGGAUAUGUUUGUUGCCAAACGGGACACAUGCGAAGCAGAGAGUGUCACCAGUUGGAUAAUAUGAUUCAGUUAACAUUGGAAUCAUUCAAGUCGUUUCUACAGAAGAAGUUCUAUCCAACUCUUUUUUAUAUACAAAUGAAAAUGGGUAAUGGGAAAGCUUAGGAAGAACUGCAACAGAGAUGAAACACGGGUCGAAUGUUGUUGCAAGUGAUAUACGGUUUCUCUUAUUAUGAUUCUGAUUCAUUUGUCAUCAAUCAUCAAUCAUCAUCUCUUCAUUUGUUUUUUGUGGUUUGUUACAGGAGGAUUUAGUCUGAUUUGUAUUACAUGCAAUGGUCCUACUGAUAGAUGGUGUUUCAGGUUGAAAUUUCAAUUGUUGGUUGCUAGAGAUGAUCAAUUCACCAUACCAUUGUUCAUUCACCUGGUAUGCUUAAUACACUACUUUAGUGCUGACAGGCGACACGGGUGGCGGCAUAGGCGGAAUACUAUUCCACCAUAUUCACCGCACAUCUGUUGCAGUUAACCACCCACACAGGUACUCCGUGAGAAAAUAAUGUCAAUGGAACAUGAAGUUCCUGGAGGCGAGAAAGACAUUGUUACACUUGACGCAUAGUAAUUCUUACUCGAUACUUACUUAUUUUUCCAGAUUUCAUGCAUUCAAUUCCACUCCAAUCUUACAUAUGGAAUUAAAUUACAUUGGAAUCCACAAAAUCCUAUAAACUAUUUCUCAUCUUUUAGGAAAGGAAUUAUUCAUAAGAUAAUAAACUUGGAAGUGUGAGUUCAGUUCUUGAAAUUGUCUAUUCUUGGUAAAAGCUUUGAUUACAGUGUACAACUGUUGACCUCUUAACACAUGUUUUCUUAAAUAAGAGGCGAUAUAUUCAUUACUAGAGAACUCCCAAAUCUCAAGGUAUGAAGCAUUGUAUAGAUCAAGUACAAGUUCAGCUUCUACAACUUUUUAUUAGAAAAUAAGCUCAACAAUAAAUAUUGAUUAUCACAUUUCACAAUCGAUCAACUUGCUGACAUCGCUGUCGGAUGACUCAAAUAUGACAGCUUCUUAAGGGUGGAUCUUCAUCAUGUAUCCUUGUGGUUAUAUGCAUUUUUAACAAGGAAACCAACAACAUUAGCAAAAAAUGGCCGGUUUCACCCAAUAACCAUUUAACUAACUAAUUUACUUUUAUGUGUAUUGUUAUUGCCUUAGCUAUCUUUUAGAUAGAAGAGAACGCAUGAAAGUCCAAAAACCAACUGGGUGGUGCCUACAGGUAUAAAGGACCAUGUGGAAGACAUGAAGUCAAAAUGGAAUUGGACCAUGUUUGGUUCCGCCUUUAAGAAUGGAAUGAGUUUUCAAAUAAAAUUAAUUUCUUUACAGUUUUAGGACCAAAUUUCCCCUGCACACUGUUAUUAUAUCACAACAAUGUAUCAUUUAUAAAAUUUGCUUUGAUUUUUUGGUGAUUACCUUAA